AUUUGUUUUUCGGACUUUUUUUUUGUACAUAAAUAAGGCUGCUAGUUUUCUCGAUUGAUUUGUUUUACAUUGUCAUUUCGGGGCCUUUUAAAGCUGAGUAUGCGGUAUGGGUUUUGCUCGUUGUUGAAGGACGUACGGUGACCUAUAGUUGUUAAUUUCUGUGUCAUUUUGGUCUCUUUUGGAGAGUUAUCUUAAAAUGGCAAUCAUACCACAUUUUCUUCUCUUUUUUUGUAAUCAAUGAAUUUUGCAUAGGCGGAAUCAGGGGGGGGGGGCUUGGAACCCGCCCUCUUUCGUGUGAAAAAAUUGAUUGACUGGAGCAGCCCCCCCCCCCCCCUUAGGUCAGUCAGCCCCC
rnacentral:lncRNA from 1 species